UGGGGAAUCUUGCACAAUGGGGGAAGCCCUGAUGCAGCGACGCCGCGUGAGUGAUGAAGCCCUUCGGGGUGUAAAGCUCUUUCGACAGGAACGAUAAUGACGGUACCUGGAGAAGAAGCUGCGGCUAACUACGUGCCAGCAGCCGCGGUAAUACGUAGGCAGCAAACGUUGUUCGGAGUUACUGGGCGUAAAGAGUGCGUAGGCGGUUUGCCAAGUCUGGUGUGAAAUCUCCUGGCUUAACUGGGAGGGUGCGCCGGAUACUGGCAGGCUUGAGUGUGGGAGAGGAAAGCAGAAUUCCUGGUGUAGCGGUGAAAUGCGUAGAUAUCAGGAGGAAUACCUGUGGUGAAGACGGCUUUCUGGACCACAACUGACGCUGAGGCACGAAAGCGUGGGGAGCAAACAGGAUUAGAUACCCUGGUAGUCCCUGAGCGGGCUGGCAAGGCGCAU
rnacentral:rRNA from 1 species